rnacentral:lncRNA from 1 species
UCUGUAAGCCUUGAUUCCGGUUACAUGUAGAGAUUAGUGUUAUUAAGAUGGUCCUCUUGCUCCCUUUCCAUAGAUGACCUGCAAAGGGCGCCAGAGAUGUCUCCGGCGUCAACCCUCCAACGAUCAAGUUAGCCAUUGUGGGUAAUGGAGAAGAAAGUAAAAGAGAGAGAGGAAGAGAGAGAAGAAGUGUAGAGAGUGAGAGCUC